rnacentral:rRNA from 1 species
AUGGAACGUCUCCUCCACACAAAACCUGAUUACACCUCUCUCCGUGUUUUUGGGUGCGCGUGUUGGCCAAAUCUUCGGCCUUACAAUCAACGCAAGCUCAUGUUCCGUUCAAAACAAUGUGCUUUCCUUGGUUAUAGUGCCCAACACAAAGGCGUCAAGUGCCUUCACAUCUCUACUGGUAGGGUGUAUAUCUCACGUGACGUUGUUUUCGAUGAGACAAGAUUUCCCUUUGCGGAUCUUCAUCCCAACGCUGGUGCCCUCCUUCGCAAGGAAAUCUUGCUCUUACCUUCUCAUCUCUCCGGUUAUGAUCAAGGGGGUAUUACAAAUUGUGAUGAUCAUAUGACUAACCCUACUAAUGGCCCCCAUGAGCUUUGUGGUGAUGCAGGAAACAACGCAAAAAUUGCGGGAAAUAAUAAAGAAAACGGCCAGGAAAACGGCCCUUAUUUCAUGUGUCCGCCGCUGGGGAGCAAAUCUUCCUCAGGAUCCGCCCAGGAGCUGCAGCGCAGUGAAUCAGCCUCGGGAUCGGUGGCCUGA